AGUGAACGCUGGCGGUAGGCCUAACACAUGCAAGUCGAACGGCAGCACAGUAAGAGCUUGCUCUUACGGGUGGCGAGUGGCGGACGGGUGAGGAAUACAUCGGAAUCUACUUUUUCGUGGGGGAUAACGUAGGGAAACUUACGCUAAUACCGCAUACGACCUACGGGUGGAAGCAGGGGAUCUUCGCACCUUGCGCGUUUGAAUGAGCCGAUGUCGGAUUAGCUAGUUGGCGGGGUAAAGGCCCACCAAGGCGACGAUCCGUAGCUGGUCUGAGAGGAUGAUCAGCCACACUGGAACUGAGACACGGUCCAGACUCCUACGGGAGGCAGCAGUGGGGAAUAUUGGACAAUGGGCGCAAGCCUGAUCCAGCCAUACCGCGUGGGUGAAGAAGGCCUUCGGGUUGUAAAGCCCUUUUGUUGGGAAAGAAAAGCAGCAGGUUAAUACCCCGCUGUUCUGACGGUACCCAAAGAAUAAGCACCGGCUAACUUCGUG
rnacentral:rRNA from 1 species